AACUUAGUUGUGUCAUUUAAAUUUGAUGGAUGGACUUUCAGGAAAUUUGACAUUUUGGAAGAAGUCCAGCAAAUUCCUAAGGAGAAAUUUUUGGUCACUCUUCUUCCCAGUAGCUGCAUCAACCGCCAUCCUGUUAGAUUUGUCAAGGACAAGGCGGUUCAAGGUUAAUCAAGCCCUUCUAGCUAAACAAGCAGAGAUCAGAGCUCAGGACUGAAGAUGAAGUUCUCCAUGCUAAGAGGGAGGUUUUUGCCGUACUACAUGGCACUGCUGAUACCACCAGCAGCCUACUUUGUUGGCAGCUACUUCCAAGGGCAGCUUGACGAGACGCAGACGUUGUAUCGAAACAAAAGUCGACUGUUUGGUGGCCGCAGAUUAGCUGAGGGAGAGAAGGCGUGGUGAUGGAUGCAAGACUGAUGAAUGUGUGCUGUGUAGAACAGGGACUUAGACUUUAUCACAUAACCCCACGGUAUUUUGAAUUGGACUGUAAAUUAUUGAUCCUUUCUACAAACUAGAAAUAAAGGGUUUAGUAAUU
rnacentral:lncRNA from 1 species